AGCCGAGCCGAGCCGAGCCGAGCCGAGCCGAGCCGAGCCGAGCCGAGCCGAGCCGAGCCGAGCCGAGCCGAGCCGAGCCGAGCCGAGCCGAGCCGAGCCGAGCCGAGCCGAGCCGAGCCGAGCGCUGCCUCAUCGUGACGGAGGAACUCCGAGGUCCGACGAACGCGGGACGAAGAUAGUGACAACAGCCGUGUCUGAGACGAGAGUGCGCUGGACGAAGCCGAAGGGAGUCCAAGAGGAGAGCCAACCGAUUGUAGCCAAAGAAGAAUCCAGGUUGGAACAAAUGUGUCCCGAAUGAAGCCGAGCCAGAGGGCCGGAGGUAGCCGAACUUAGCCGAGAGGCGCCGAAAGCAGUCGAAGGCGUUAGCGCGCGGAAGCGUUAACGCGUAGAAAGUUGUCUCGUUCAGGUGGUAACCAGGUGACUUCGGAAUUUGCUUCUUUAGAUCUAGAACAUAAACUAGCAAACUGCAAACAGAGAAGUCUAUUAGCAUAACCCUCCAAUAUCGACAGUUCAGAAUGUUAGCUGUCAAUAUUCCAAGAGCACCCAGAAUCGGCACCGCUUGCCGGAACAGCAUACAGUUUUCUCUACUUUUGUGAUUAUUCCCUUCAAAAUUUUUUGAAUAAGCACAAUAUUUUAUGAAUUUCUGCUUCUUGUUUGCAAAACUCGUGAAUAACAUGCUGUUUCACAAAGUCUCAAUCAGGUACCUGCCAGUUGCAGCCGCGUUCCGCCUUCCACUAGAGGGACACCUUGGGUCGUGUUUGUAACUGCCUAGAACUGGUAGGUGGCAUAGGCUGCAAUCCUGGCUAUUCCAGAUGCUGAAGCAAAUUCAAGGUCAGCCUGAGUUACAGAUGGGGACCCUCCAACACGAAGUAUAAAGAGUGCUGGUAUUAGAUCAGUGGUAGACACCCCCCCGGAAUUUGUCACUGAUAUUUCAGGAAUUUCUGAUGUAAUAAUCUUUCAAAGUCCUUCAUAUGGUAGAGUUUUCUGUAACGUGGAUGCAUGUGCUUAUUUAUCUAAUUACUUAUUUGAGAACAAUUAGUCAGCUCCCUCCACCAGCGUUAAGCAUAGCUAGCAUUUCACUAGCUGCUUUGUAGAGAAGUUCAACCAAACCCUCGAGGUACCUUUCUGGAAGUGGAUGAUUAGUGGGAUUAAAAAGGAAAUAUUUAUCUGAGUUUUCAUUACCUUUAUUACAUUGCCUCCCAGAAAGCCUGCCGAUUUCCCUUCACAUCAGCAGCCUAUAAGAGUUUCUCUACUGUUUCCUCCAGUGUUUUCCUUACAUGGAAGUGGAAGCAGACACUUCACAUACAGCAUUCCCUGUGAGCCAUGCAGUUCUGCAAGCGGGUUACAUAACCAGGCAAGGCCACAGAGCCAGGUGAUAUAUUUCCUAGCUUUUGUUCAGGAUGCAGUAAGUAGGGAGUCAACACAUGCGUGGGUGACAAUGCUGAUAUUUACACCCAGUUCCUCCCACACUGACAGGCAGAAUAAUGCAACCCAAAAGAUGCCCGCAUUGAAUUCCCAGAACCUUUUAUGUUGUUUUUCGUGACAAGGAGGAAUUUGUAGGUUUGUUUAAGCUAAACUCUUGAGAUGGAGCAAUGGAUGGGAAAUUAUCCGAGUGUGCCCAAUAUAACCAUAAAGGUGUUUACAGGCAAGGGGGAGGCUGGAGGGUUAGUCAAAGGAGAUGUCAAGGGGGAAACAGGUCAGAGUGAGGUAUGAAGGACCAGGAAUGCAGGCUUUAGAAGCUGGAGAAACAUGGUUUCUUCUCUGGACCCUCAAGAAAUAUAACAGCCACCUCCUACAAUCCAUUUUGGACAUCUGGUGCCUACAGCUGGAAGAAACUGCAUUUGUGUUAUUUUAACCCCUGGGUUUGGGGUAAUUUGCCACAACAAUAAUAGGAAAUGAAUACACAAGUGUUUCUUAUUUUGACUACACUGAACUCUGAAGAUUAAGUUCUCAUCUUAUAAAAAACAAACCAGCAAACACCAUAGAUAAGGGGGCUGGAGAGAUGGCUCAGAGGUUAAGAGCACUGGCUCCUGUUCCAGAGGUCCUGAGUUCAAUACCUAGCAACCACAUGAUGGCUCACAACCAUCUAUUUUGAGGUCUGGUGCCCUUUUCUGGUGUGCAAGCAUACAUUCAUGCAGAACACUGUAUACAUAAUAAACAAAUCUUUAAAAACCCAAACUGUAGAUAAGAAUAUAUAAGGAAACAAUUGUUUAGAAGGUCAAGAUUUACUGAAAAUUCAAGCAUAUGUAUAGAGUGACUGGGGUAUAGCUAGCAGGGAAAGUGCUUACUGUGAAAGAAUGGGUACCUGUGUGUCAAGAAUGGGUACCUGUGUAUCAAGAAUGGGUACCUGUGUGUCAAGAAUGGGUACCUGUGUGUAGUCCUAGAACCAAUGUAAAAGAACUGGAGAGUUCCAUUGCUGGGAGGUAGUGACAGGUAGGUCCUGAGGCUUGUCAUCCAGGUCAGUGAGACAAGUCUAUUUCCAACACAGGGUAGUUGUCAAGAGGGCUCAGUGGGUAAGAUGUUUGUCACUAAGCCAGACUCUCUUUGGUCUUAGGGCUUCAGAUGCUGAAGUUGUUCUUUGCCCUCCACGUGUAUGCUGUGGCUUGAACCCCUCAUAAAUAAAUGCAUGCAUUGAAAAAACAACCAAGGUGAACAGUUACUGAGAAUUGACACUCAAGGUUAACCUCUGGUCACAACACGUGUGUGCACACAAUACAUAUACAUGUGUGAGUGCACACAUGCACACUCACAAUAACCAUAUGGAUGUAUAAAUGCAUUAGUAUUUAUUCUUCCAAAGAAUGUUAAUUAGGUAUACAAUGUGUCAGGUCCUGUACCAAGGGUCUUACCAGGGAAUAAAUCAGGCAAAAUCCCUGCCUUAUUUUCUUCUGUGGAGCUAAUGUAUGAAGAAAUCUAUCGAUCAUUUCGUUAUGUGAACGGUGGUUAUUUCUGGAAAAUUUUUCUUAAUUGUUCCAUCACAAGAAAGUACUUGAAAACUUUUGAUUCAUCCCUAGUAAGCUGACUAUCAGAGAGCUAUUAAAAUCUGAAUGUGGAAAGGGACCAAUAUCUAAUAUAUACUGAAAAAAAGAAAAAAUUGUAAAGCAAAAAUGGAUAGCAUGGUCCCACUUAUAUCAAUAGUUAUUUUCCCAGGACUGCACAUAAAGUGCUGGAAAGAAACCAAAUCUCUCAGCACAAGCAGGCGUCUUUUAGGGGAGUUAAGGGGUGUGUGGGGAGGCAGUUAGCAUCACCUUUGAAACUUUACUAAUUCUGUUUAUUCCCUUCUGUACUGUUUGCCUUCCUUCCCUGGUACUUACAUUGCAUGUAUAAUAAAAAUGAAAGUAGAAACUUCCCA